CCUUCGGGUGUCAGUGGCAGACGGGUGAGUAACACGUGGGAACGUACCCUUCGGUUCGGAAUAACUCAGGGAAACUUGAGCUAAUACCGGAUACGCCCUUUUGGGGAAAGGUUUACUGCCGAAGGAUCGGCCCGCGUCUGAUUAGCUUGUUGGUGGGGUAACGGCCUACCAAGGCGACGAUCAGUAGCUGGUCUGAGAGGAUGAUCAGCCACACUGGGACUGAGACACGGCCCAGACUCCUACGGGAGGCAGCAGUGGGGAAUAUUGGACAAUGGGCGCAAGCCUGAUCCAGCCAUGCCGCGUGAGUGAUGAAGGCCUUAGGGUUGUAAAGCUCUUUUGUCCGGGACGAUAAUGACGGUACCGGAAGAAUAAGCCCCGGCUAACUUCGUGCCAGCAGCCGCGGUAAUACGAAGGGGGCUAGCGUUGCUCGGAAUCACUGGGCGUAAAGGGCGCGUAGGCGGCCGAUUAAGUCGGGGGUGAAAGCCUGUGGCUCAACCACAGAAUUGCCUUCGAUACUGGUUGGCUUGAGACCGGAAGAGGACAGCGGAACUGCGAGUGUAGAGGUGAAAUUCGUAGAUAUUCGCAAGAACACCAGUGGCGAAGGCGGCUGUCUGGUCCGGUUCUGACGCUGAGGCGCCGAAAGCGUG
rnacentral:rRNA from 1 species